rnacentral:rRNA from 1 species
AGAGUUUGACCUGGCUCAGAUUGAACGCUGGCGGCAGGCCUAACACAUGCAAGUCGAGCGGAUGACGGGAGCUUGCUCCUUGAUUCAGCGGCGGACGGGUGAGUAAUGCCUAGGAAUCUGCCUGGUAGUGGGGGACAACGUUUCGAAAGGAACGCUAAUACCGCAUACGUCCUACGGGAGAAAGCAGGGGACCUUCGGGCCUUGCGCUAUCAGAUGAGCCUAGGUCGGAUUAGCUAGUUGGUGGGGUAAUGGCUCACCAAGGCGACGAUCCGUAACUGGUCUGAGAGGAUGAUCAGUCACAC